rnacentral:tRNA from 1 species
GGGGGUGGGUGUCAGCCGGUGCUGGCCCGGCGCUUCAAACGCCGUGCGGCCGUCCAGGACGGUCGGGUGGGUUCGACUCCCAUGCACCCUCGCCA